GCUCUGUAUUGAUAAAGUUAACAUAUUUAGGGUUUAAUGCUCUUUCUCAUGCUUCUUUCUUUUCAGUUCUAGAAGAGUUCAAUGGACCUCACUGAGUGUGGCUCCAUAUUGCUGCAGGCCAUGAUCCUUGGGAGCCAGUAUCCCUCAGUGACUCCAUUGCAUGAGGACCUGGACACCCAGGAGCACUGACUGCAUGCUGUUCUCUCAGCAUACGUUUCCAGUGCUGCAACCAGGGGCAGGACAGAAAAACCUCAUAUUAAGCACAUCCAGACCACAUAUCCUCAAGGAUUUGAAACAGGAACAUUUUUGGAUGGGAGUCCCUGCCUUUCUCCAAGAGAGAACACUCAGUGCAGCCAAAGGUGGGUCAGAAGAUGAAGUCAGAUCUACAGACAGGCUGCAAUAAACACUUUUCCCACUACCAACAGCUGCUGUGAGCCCAGGCUGG
rnacentral:lncRNA from 1 species